rnacentral:rRNA from 1 species
AACGAACGUUGGCGGCGUGCCUAACACAUGCAAGUCGAGCGCGGGCAGGACUUCGGUCCUGUUCCGAGCGGCGCACGGGUGAGUAACACGUGAGUAACCUGCCUCGAAGUUUGGGAUAACCGCCCGAAAGGGUGGCUAAUACCGGAUAAGCCCCCCACUGGCACAGGCCAGAGAGGGAAAAGCCUUGGCGCUUCGAGAUGGGCUCGCGUCCCAUUAGCUAGUUGGUGAGGUAACGGCUCACCAAGGCGAAGAUGGGUAGCUGGUCUGAGAGGAUGAUCAGCCACACUGGAACUGAGACACGGUCCAGACGUACCUACGGGAGGCAGCAGUGGGGAAUAUUGCGC